rnacentral:lncRNA from 1 species
AUCAAGGGUAAAUAAAGAAGCUAUGCACAACUCGGACACACGAUGUAUAUGAACACCGGGUUCUUGAAGUAUCGAAGUCGAACUCUGAAUAAGAAAAUACGAGAGGAUAGUUAAAUAAAUCAAAGUUUCAUUGUUAAAUGUUAUUCACUAUUAGAUUAUAUGAGAAUCAUGUUGUAUAACGUUGUCAAUGACUAAUGGUUAAGUUGUAUGUGAUAUUCACAUGUAUUGCACGUAUCUCUAGCACUACUAUCGAAGAUAAGCAUGCAUUGAUCG